AAUCUGUGUUGCGGGCACUUUUGCAGGAGCUCCUUGAACCUUUCCCACGUCUUAAAUAGAGACUCUAAUUCUAAUUAUAUAAAGGAUGAGAUCACAUUCCUAAGCUU